GCAGAGAUGUCUCGCCGUUGCCGUUGCCAGGUACACCUCUACAUCCAAUCCUAUCCUAUCCUAUCCUUUCCAUUAUCCUGUCAUGGGUCCUGGGCGACUCUCAAGUGGUUGCCGGCUUCAACAUUGUUCGCCCUGCCUCGUGCAAGUUGGCAAAACUGUUGGAAAAAGUAACAUUUCAGUCGACCUGGGAACUGAAGAGCUCAAGUGCCAAACAAGAUUUAAAGUUUGAUUAGUUGCAAAAUAGAAGAAGAGGGAUUGAAGAUUUCCGAUAAGACAAAUUCUAUAUAAAUGUAAAAAUGAAAUAAAAUGUAUUUAAUUCUCUUUAUAAACGUAUGCAAU
ensembl:ncRNA lncRNA:CR45358 long non-coding RNA:CR45358